rnacentral:tRNA from 1 species
GGCAUGGUGGUGCAGUGGGUAGCACAUCAAGAAGGUCCUGGGUUCGAAUCUCGGCUUGAGCCU